AACGAACGCUGGCGGCAUGCCUAACACAUGCAAGUCGAACGAGACCUUCGGGUCUAGUGGCGCACGGGUGCGUAACGCGUGGGAAUCUGCCCUUGGGUUCGGAAUAACAGUUGGAAACGACUGCUAAUACCGGAUGAUGACGUAAGUCCAAAGAUUUAUCGCCCAAGGAUGAGCCCGCGUAGGAUUAGCUAGUUGGUGAGGUAAAGGCUCACCAAGGCGACGAUCCUUAGCUGGUCUGAGAGGAUGAUCAGCCACACUGGGACUGAGACACGGCCCAGACUCCUACGGGAGGCAGCAGUGGGGAAUAUUGGAAAAUGGGCGAAAGGCUGAUCCAGCAAUGCCGCGUGAGUGAUGAAGGCCUUAGGGUUGUAAAGCUCUUUUAACCGGGAUGAUAAUGACAGUACCGGGAGAAUAAGCUCCGGCUAACUCCGUG
rnacentral:rRNA from 1 species